GCUCCGGUGGCCUAGUGGUUAGAGCGUCUGCCUCAGAUGCGGUAGGUUGUGGGUUCCAUCCCAAGUCGAGUCA